GUGCCUAUAGCUCAAUUGGAUAGAGCGUCUGACUACGGAUCAGAAGGCUGGGGGUUCAAGUCCUCUUGGGCACGCCA
rnacentral:tRNA from 1 species